rnacentral:rRNA from 1 species
UACGUAGGUGGCGAGCGUUAUCCGGAUUUACUGGGCGUAAAGGGAGCGUAGGCGGAUUUUUAAGUGAGAUGUGAAAUACUCGGGCUCAACUUGAGUGCUGCAUUUCAAACUGGAAGUCUAGAGUGCAGGAGAGGAGAAUGGAAUUCCUAGUGUAGCGGUGAAAUGCGUAGAGAUUAGGAAGAACACCAGUGGCGAAGGCGAUUCUCUGGACUGUAACUGACGCUGAGGCUCGAAAGCGUGGGGAGCAAACAGG